rnacentral:misc_RNA from 1 species
AAACGGAUUUUGCUUAUUGCACCACAUGUGUUUUUUAUUGAACAAAUUUCUUUGGUGGCGGGAGCAAUCCUACCGCCAGAGGUUAUAACUAAACCAAACUUUUUAUUUACAGUCAAACUUGAUUUAUUAUUACAAUAGUCAAAACUUUCAACAACGGAUCUCUUGGUUCUCGCAUCGAUGAAGAACGCAGCGAAAUGCGAUACGUAAUAUGAAUUGCAGAUAUUCGUGAAUCAUCGAAUCUUUGAACGCACAUUGCGCCCUUUGGUAUUCCAAAGGGCAUGCCUGUUUGAGCGUCAUUUCUCCCUCAAACCCCCGGGUUUGGUGUUGAGCAAUACGCUAGGUUUGUUUGAAAGAAUUUACGUGGAAACUUAUUUUAAGCGACUUAAGUUUAUCCAAAACGCUUAUUUUGCUAGUGGGCACCACAAUUUAUUUCAUAACUUUGACCUCUAAUCAGGUAGGACUACCCGCUGAACUUAAGCAUAUCAAUAAGCGGAGGAAAAGG